AGAGCAAGUCGCGUGUUUUCUGUUUCAAGGGUUGAACCCUUAUUCUUCUCCGCCGUCGUGAUGUAGUCUCAAACUCUAGGGUUUCGAUUCGUCUUCUUCCUCUAAGCCUGAUCUUUACCAGUUUCAGAUUCAUCUUCUUAAAAUCCUCCUUGAUUCCAUUAUCCACGAUCUACAUUUAUUGUUUGCUUCGCUCUUGCAAAACGGUGGAAACCUCAGUUUAUAAAGUCUGGAAGAUGUUCUUCCACAAUUGGGAUGAGGUUGUUUCGUUUCUAGGAGGCGAAGAAUAUUGGGCGGCGAGCCUAUGGGCGUCUACAUACUCCACCACGGCGUUAAGGUAAUUCCAGCGAAAGUAAUUAUAAAUCUCUUUCCUUUUCAAUGAAGAUAUUUGAGCUUUACAAUUUAAGAUACCAAACAUUUGACAAUUACAGGCUCUUUGAUUUGAUUUCUGGGUUAUUUUUAGUUCUGUUCACUGUUUUGUUUUUUGGUUUUAGUCUAUAGCCAUCGAAGAAAAAAUUCGAUUACGUUCUUCACACUUCAGAGUCUGAACCUUGGCACUUGAAUCAUCUUAUGGCUUGCUUUUCCAUCUGUUGAAAUAUCUUGCCUUAAAUCAUUGUCCUGAAAACUCUUGGUAAGUUAUUUACGUUAGACACAAUAUGAUAUGAUUUAACAAUCAUUUUUUUUACAGAUUCCAAUGAUUUAUAUGGUGCAUCAUGAGGAUCUGAUAAGUUUAAACAUUCUAUGUCAAUAAAAUCAGCCAAAGAAUUGUUGCCCUUGGUCGUUCUGCUUCUGAUUGCAAUCCGUCAUGCCAUCUUUGAAGUCUCCAAGUUUGUCUGUUUCAUGGUGAAGCUCGACAUCUUUUUACAGAUAUGCCAAAGGAAAGUUGAAAAAGUAUCAUCUCUCUCCUGAAUCCCUCUUUUAUUCUCCUAUCUUGCUUUGGUGAAAACAACAGUGAAACACUUACAUUCUUAUUUUACGCUUAUGGCUUAUUUAAAGCUUAUGAAGGAUUAGAAUUUUCGAGGACCGGAAGCACUGCAGUAAAAACGGUUUUUGAUUAGAACUUUUGCAAGCUUUAUAAACAACCAACCUUGAUUGUAUUGUAUGUGUAUCUUAUCGAAUUUUGUUAAACAGAAAUAUCUCUAUUGUAAAAGUCUUUUUGUAUGUUUUUGAACAUUGAAAUCAA